UACGAACCGUGCGAACGUUGUUCGGAAUCACUGGGCUUAAAGGGCGCGUAGGCGGGCCAGCAAGUCAGGGGUGAAAGCCCACGGCUCAACCGUGGAAGUGCCUCUGAUACUGUUGGCCUCGAGGGAGGUAGGGGCGUGCGGAACUUCCGGUGGAGCGGUGAAAUGCGUAGAUAUCGGAAGGAACAUCGGUGGCGAAAGCGGCUCACUGGACCACAACUGACGCUGAGGCGCGAAAGCUAGGGGAGCAAACAGG
rnacentral:rRNA from 1 species